GAACUUGGAGUCUGAUGUUCAAGGGCAGGAAGCAUCCAGCGUGGAAGAAAGAUGUAGGUGGGAGGCUAGGCCAGUCUCUUUUCACAUUUUUUCUGCCUGCUUAUAUUCUAUCCCCACUGGCAGCUGAUUAGGUUGUACCUCGAGAUUAAGAGUGGGUCUGUCUUCCCAAGCCCACUGACUUAAAUGUUAAUCUCCUUUGGCAACUUCCUCACAGACACGCUGAGGAUCAAUACUUUGUAUCGUUCAGUACAAUCAAGUUGAUACUUAGUAUUAACCAUCUCUGCAAGUUAUUAAAGAAAAUGAUCUGAUCUGAUGAGUCGAAGACCAUGUUACUUGAUCUGGUUCAGCUUAGAUACUUCAUGUUAAAAUCUGAAAAGAAAAGUAACAGGACUGUAUGUGAAUUACCAAUGAUCUUUCAGAGGAACUCAUAUUUAAGGGCCACAGGGGGAUUGAACAUUGAAUUCUACACUGCAAUCUUUAUAACAUUGGACCUGAACCAACUGAGCUAUUCACUGGUUUUGAGGGAGAAAACAUCUAGAGAUCAAAACAAGCUUCUCUCAAGAUCCUGCCACAAUCAACAUAUGGAACAGUUUCCACCACUCACAAGAAGCCCCCGCAUGCUGUUCUUUUGGGAACAUGCAAUGCCUUUUCUGCGGACUGCAUCCCGAACAGAAGCUGGAGUCAGUACAGAUCUUUAAAUCCCUGUUAUUUCCACUGAAUUUUGG
rnacentral:lncRNA from 13 species